GACGAACGCUGGCGGCGUGCUUAACACAUGCAAGUCGAACGGAAAGGCCCUGCUUUUGUGGGGUGCUCGAGUGGCGAACGGGUGAGUAACACGUGAGUAACCUGCCCUUGACUUUGGGAUAACUUCAGGAAACUGGGGCUAAUACCGGAUAGGAGCUCCUGCUGCAUGGUGGGGGUUGGAAAGUUUCGGCGGUUGGGGAUGGACUCGCGGCUUAUCAGCUUGUUGGUGGGGUAGUGGCUUACCAAGGCUUUGACGGGUAGCCGGCCUGAGAGGGUGACCGGCCACAUUGGGACUGAGAUACGGCCCAGACUCUUCCGGGAGGCAGCAGUGGGGAAUAUUGCACAAUGGGCGGAAGCCUGAUGCAGCAACGCCGCGUGCGGGAUGACGGCCUUCGGGUUGUAAACCGCUUUCGCCUGUGACGAAGCGUGAGUGACGGUAAUGGGUAAAGAAGCACCGGCUAACUACGUG
rnacentral:rRNA from 1 species